CGCAAGAUUAAAACUCAAAUGAAUUGACGGGGGCCCGCACAAGCGGUGGAGCAUGUGGUUUAAUUCGAUGCAACGCGAAGAACCUUACCUACUCUUGACAUCCAGAGAACUUUCCAGAGAUGCAUUGGUGCCUUCGGGAACUCUGAGACAGGUGCUGCAUGGCUGUCGUCAGCUCGUGUUGUGAAAUGUUGGGUUAAGUCCCGCAACGAGCGCAACCCUUAUCCUUGUUUGCCAGCGAGUAAUGUCGGGAACUCCAGGGAGACUGCCGGUGAUAAACCGGAGGAAGGUGGGGACGACGUCAAGUCAUCAUGGCCCUUACGAGUAGGGCUACACACGUGCUACAAUGGCGCAUACAGAGGGCAGCCAACUCGCGAGAGUGAGCGAAUCCCAAAAAGUGCGUCGUAGUCCGGAUUGGAGUCUGCAACUCGACUCCAUGAAGUCGGAAUCGCUAGUAAUCGUAGAUCAGAAUGCUACGGUGAAUACGUUCCCGGGCCUUGUACACACCGCCCGUCACACCAUGGGAGUGGGCUGCAAAAGAAGUGGGUAGUUUAACCUUCGGGAGGACGCUCA
rnacentral:rRNA from 1 species